rnacentral:rRNA from 1 species
GGGUUGUAAAGCACUUUUAGAUAGGAAGAAUGGCGGAGAUUUAUCUCCGAGGCGACGGUACUAUCAGAAUAAGCACCGGCUAACUCCGUGCCAGCAGCCGCGGUAAUACGGAGGGUGCAAGCGUUAUCCGGAAUCACUGGGUUUAAAGGGUACGUAGGCGGCGGUAUAAGUCAGACGUUAAAGACCAGAGCUAAACUCUGGCACGCGUUUGAAACUGUACGGCUUGAAUAUGUUCGAGGUGCAUGGAAUGCUUCAUGUAGCGGUGAAAUGCAUAGAUAUGAAGUAGAACACCAAAUGCGAAGGCAGUGCACUAGGGCAUUAUUGACGCUGAGGUACGAAAGCGUGGGUAGCGAACAGGAUUAGAUACCCUGGUAGUCCACGCCCUAAACGAUGCUAACUGGUCAUUUAGUGGAAUAGCUGAGUGACUGAGGGAAACCAUUAAG